ACGCCGGUGGUCGGCCUGGUGCGGCCGCCAUUCGUGCUGGCGCCGGACAGUUUCGAGGUGGCCGAAGUGUUCGAAACCCCGCUCGCCUUCC
rnacentral:tRNA from 1 species